UUUUCAACGUCCACUGUUUUCUCAUCUCAUUGCCACUCAACUUGGCACACACAAGUCGAUAAAGACGUCGGAAAUGUCAACAUGAUGACAACAAAUUUGUAAAAAAAAAAAACUUGAUUUAUUUGGCCCCAUCAACAAAAAACAACAACAUCCAAAUGAAAUGCUCCAAGAGGUCCACGAGGGGAGGUCAUGCUGAGCUAAUGGCAAGCUGGCUGAUGUCCUUACGCCCCCAUCUCCUGCCACGCCCCUUUGCCAUUCAAUGAUCUCUCGCACCGUCAGAAACACGAAAUGGGUUAGGUGACAAGUCGGUUGGCUGGGACGACGGACGAAGGACGAACAGCGAAGGAUGGGAGGAGCUUGCGGCUGCUGCCACACAAUCUGCCAUAUCACUGACAGUUUUAUCGACUUAACAAAACUAACUGCCAUUAGUUUCACUUUGGCUGGUAGUGCCGCUGAAAAGCAACGACAUUUACGCCCCCGCGUCCCAAGGAUGCAAAAGGGAAACUCCGUUCGGGUUACAGGACCAAGACAAAGGCAAAAUAAACACUGAAAAAACGAAAUGCCAAAACAGCAGAAGGAGGCAGUAGGAGCAGCCAUUACAAAAACAACAGUAACAACGUCAACAACAAUGGUCGACAAGGAAGAUAAGAAAAAUAAGGACAUGGGUCGAAGCCAGGGAUGGUGUAUGAUGGUGUGGAUAUAUCCAUGGGUGGUGAUUGCACACCGCCCCCCCUGUCUGCUCCUGGCAGACGUUGAAAAAUCACUUUAGCAUGACCCCAAAAUGUCUAUUUCAUUAAUACAAAUAAACCCGGAAAGGAGAGCAAAGAAACGGCAGAGCCAGUGGUAGUGGUAGUGGCAGGACCAAAAGCAAAACCAAACCGAACCAAAAACUGCCGCCCCAAUAGCGGAAAGGCCAAAACAAAUCGUUUCUGCCCGCUGCAAGGACAUUUCGACAAAUUAAAAUGAACAUGAAAAGCGGCAGCAGAUAAAAACCAAAUGGCCCGGGUCCUUCCAAAAAAAAAAAUCCUCCUGACCACCUCGUGUCCUGUUUCUUGCACGUCUUUGGCUAUUGGCAUUAAAAUUUGUCAUUCUCCAAGAGAGUCCUUUGGGAUUUUCUUGGAGUUUGGUGCUUAAAAAAGAGUAUAUUUAAAAGUUUACUACUCAAGUAAAAAAUAACCCUAACUUUCUGUUUAAUAGUCCUUAAAAUAAACCCAAUAAAGAGCA